GGGGCUGAUUCUGGAUUCGACGGGAUUUGCGAAACCCAAGGUGCAUGCCGAGGGGCGGUUGGCCUCGUAAAAAGCCGCAAAAAAAUAGUCGCAAACGACGAAACCUACGCUUUAGCAGCUUAAUAACCUGCUUAGAGCCCUCUCUCCCUAGCCUCCGCUCUUAGGACGGGGAUCAAGAGAGGUCAAACCCAAAAGAGAUCGCGCGGAUGCCCUGCCUGGGGUUGAAGCGUUAAAACGAAUCAGGCUAGUCUGGUAGUGGCGUGUCCGUCCGCAGGUGCCAGGCGAAUGUAAAGACUGACUAAGCAUGUAGUACCGAGGAUGUAGGAAUUUCGGACGCGGGUUCAACUCCCGCCAGCUCCACCA
rnacentral:tmRNA from 27 species